rnacentral:rRNA from 1 species
GGCUCAGAACGAACGGCUGGCAGCGUGGAUGAGGCAUGCAAGUCGAACGGUCGUGUGGUGGUAGCAAUAUUGCCGCGCGAUAGUGGCGGAAGGGCGAGUAAUGCGAGAGCAAGCUACCCCUCGAUUCGGAACAACGGCUGGAAACGGCCGCUAAUGCCGGAUACGAACGGUCCCCCCGCAUGGGGAAUCGUUGAAAGGCCGGGACCCGCAAGGGCCGGUCGUCGAAGGAGGCGCUCCCGUGCCAUCGGCUAGUUGGCGAGGUAACGGCUCACCAAGGCGUACGGCUAGGUGGACUGAGAGGUUGGUCACCCGCACUGGGACUGAGACACUGCCCAGACUCCUACGGGAGGCUGCAGUCGAGGAUCAUUUGCAAUGGGCGAAAGCCUGACAAUGCGACGCUGCGUGCAGGAUGAAGGCCUUCGGGUUGUAAACUGCUGUUGGGAGGGAAAAGGACGCGGGGCCCAACAAGCCCUGCCGUUUGAUUGUACUUCCAGAGAAAGUCGCGGCUAACUCUGUGCCAGCCGCCGC